rnacentral:rRNA from 1 species
UACGUAGGUGGCAAGCGUUGUCCGGAAUUAUUGGGCGUAAAGCGCGCGCAGGUGGUUUCUUAAGUCUGAUGUGAAAGCCCACGGCUCAACCGUGGAGGGUCAUUGGAAACUGGGGAACUUGAGUGCAGGAGAGAAGAGUGGAAUUCCACGUGUAGCGGUGAAAUGCGUAGAGAUGUGGAGGAACACCAGUGGCGAAGGCGACUCUUGGCCUGUAACUGACACUGAGGCGCGAAGGCCAGGGGAGCAAACGGG